rnacentral:rRNA from 1 species
AUUGAACGCUGGCGGCAUGCUUUACACAUGCAAGUCGAACGGUAACAGGCCGCAAGGUGCUGACGAGUGGCGAACGGGUGAGUAAUGCAUCGGAACGUGCCCAGUCGUGGGGGAUAACGCAGCGAAAGCUGUGCUAAUACCGCAUACGAUCUAUGGAUGAAAGCGGGGGACCGUAAGGCCUCGCGCGAUUGGAGCGGCCGAUGUCAGAUUAGGUAGUGGGGGGGGUAAAGGCCUACCAAGCCGACGAUCUGUAGCUGGUCUGAGAGGACGAACAGCCACACUGGGACUGAGACACGGCCCAGACUCCUACGGGAGGCAGCAGUGGGGAAUUUUGGACAAUGGGCGCAAGCCUGAUCCAGCCAUGCCGCGUGUCUGAAGAAGGCCUUCGGGUUGUAAAGGACUUUUGUCCGGGAGCAAAUGCUGGUGGCUAACAUCCACCGAAGCUGAGAGUACCGGAAGAAUAAGCACCGGCUAACUACGUGCCAGCCGCCGCCGUAAAAC